UCUGUUUAGAACAUGGUGUGAUGAGCUAC
rnacentral:piRNA from 1 species